rnacentral:rRNA from 1 species
GUGGGGAAUCUUCCGCAAUGGACGAAAGUCUGACGGAGCGACGCCGCGUGAGUGAAGAAGGCCUUCGGGUCGUAAAGCUCUGUCAUCAGGGACGAACGGCCGGUGGAGUGGAAAGCCACCGGAUUGACGGUACCUGAGAAGGAAGCCACGGCUAACUACGUGCCAGCAGCCGCGGUAAUACGUAGGUGGCAAGCGUUGUCCGGAAUUAUUGGGCGUAAAGCGCGCGCAGGUGGGAUCUUAAGUCCAUUUUUAAAGUUAGGAGCUCAACUCCGAGAGUGGAUGGAAGCUGGGAUUCUUGAGUACCGGAGAGGAAAGCGGAAUUCCCCGUGUAGCGGUGAAAUGCGUAGAUAUGGGGAGGAACACCAGUGGCGAAGGCGGCUUUCUGGACGGUGUCUGACACUGAGGCGCGAAAGCCAGGGGAGCGAACGGGAUUAGAAACCCCGGUAGUCC